UUUGCAUACAUGAUAAAGUGUUCACACCACUUUCUAAGUACAUAAUGUUAAAAUUUUGUGACCAGAUAUUAAAAUAUUAAUAAGCAGCAGACUGAUACUAAAAUGGGUAUAAUCUGAAUUACUUAGAAGCUAGUAGUAUAUCAGAGCCCUUAAAAGUAAAAAUGUUUCAUUCAAUAAUUUAACUUUUAGAAUAUUCCUAAUUAGGGAUUUGAUUAGAUUGUACCAUUUAAUUUGAGAAUAUUUAGUCUCAAGGGAAAAACUGCCUGGCUUUCAUUUAAAAUAGGGGCCUUUUUCUAUCAUGCUGGUUUUGAAAGGUAUAUUCACAUGUAACAGUAUCAGUUCUACAUUUAAUCUAUAAAUAACUUAUGAGAGAAUUGUUCAGUGGAAAGAAGUAAGAGAGUGCCAUUCAUUUUGCAGAUAAAAAUUACAAACACCUAAAUUUUUUUUCUAUUAAGAAUAUUUUGUACAUUCAGUAGUUUUAAAAUAAGAUCUAUAGGUGUGUCUUUAUGUGUGUGCUAGACAUGAAACAGCCCUCUGGGUUUGACUCUGAUGUGUUGUAUUUUAAAAACCUACUAUGUGCUUGCAGAAACUUACUGAGAAGCUAUUAUAAAAAUGCGGUGGAGCAUGGCCAAAUAGCUAGAAACUAUCGAAUUUUUGCAAUUCUAUAGACUUUAUCAUUGUACCAUGGACUGUGAGGAUACUCAGUAUUGGCUAUUGAUAAAAUACUAAUUUGCGUUUCAUGGCAAAUAGAUGUUAUACUGCUUGGUUAGUCUAGUCUAUUUCUAAUAUUUUGUGCAUUCAUAUCUCAAAGGAGAUAAUAUACGUGAAAAUAUUUUGAAAUACUAUAAAGUGAUAUAUAAUGAUAAGAUAUAUUUCUGUAAGUAGAGAAAAAGUUUAUAACAUUAAGAAUAUUAUACCAUUAUACAUUCUCAUGCUCAAUCUUACAAGAAACGGAAAA
rnacentral:lncRNA from 1 species